rnacentral:rRNA from 1 species
AUGCCAACGCCAACAACGCCAUCGACGCCUUCUCCAGUAAACCCGGCACCACCAUCGCCAUCUCCAGUAAACCCGGUACCACCGCCACCGUCUCCAACGGGGCCCACACCAUCAGCGCCACCGCCGUCUUCCCCGGUGAACCCGCCACCACCAACGUUGUCUCCGCCGUCUCCAGCUCUGCCUAUUCCAGUGAACCCUGCACCACCGACGCCGUCUCCAGCACAGCCAACGCCACCAACAUCGCCUCCGACAUCACCAGUGAACCCAGCGCCACCAGCGUCGUCCCCUCCUGCUCCGGUGAACCCUGCACCACCAACAGUGUCACCGCCAUCUACCGUGGCGCCGGCACCACCAAUGCCAUCGCCGUCCGGUCCAGUUAACCCGGCACCACCAAAGUCUCCAACCAAUCCGACACCGCCAACACCAUCUCCGGUGAACCCGGCACCACCAACUACGACCCCACCUUCACCUGGCACGCCAACGACACCACCAUCGCCUCUUCCGCCGCCUGCAACAACGCCGUCUCAGCCAAUGCCACCACCAGCUCCAGCUUCGAGCAAACUGCCAACCCCAAUCCCUGCCACUCAUCCUCCUCCUAGUCUAACACCGUCUUCGCUACAGCAUCCACCGCCGGGUUUACCCCCAUCACCGGCGCCACUGUCUUCGCCACCGCAUCCAUCACACGCAUCCAAAACAGUGAUCGGCAUCUCCGUGGCUGCCUCGGCAGUGUUCGUGAUCGCCCUCGUGGCCGGGCUGUUCUACUUCCGGACACGACGCCGCCAACGCCGCCGCGGCCGCCGUCCUCGGUCCAGCUCGUCAGGCGAUCCCUACGACAAGCGACUGCCGGUGACGUCGUCGCAGGCAGCACGCUCAUCCUUCUCGGCGGUGCUAUCAACCAUACCGCCAAUGUACGCGCCACCACCAGCGCCACACGCAGCGGUCCACCCGUGGCAGAGCGGCGGCGGCGCCACGGCCUCCGACCAGCCUCCCCCGCACGCGGCGGUCACCGGCGGCACGGUGUCGUACGCGGACCUGGCGGCGGCGACGGACGGGUUCUCGGACGCCAAGCUGCUGGGGCAGGGCGGGUUCGGGCAUGUGUACCGCGGCACGCUGGGCGCGGGCGCUGCGGCGCGGGAGGUGGCCAUCAAGCGGCUCCGGGCCGGCAGCGGGCAGGGCGAGCGCGAGUUCCGCGCCGAGGUGGAGAGCAUCGGCCGCGUGCACCACCGCAACCUCGUCUCGCUGCUGGGGUACUGCAUCCAUUGCGACCAGCGGCUGCUCGUCUACGAGCACGUCCCCAACCACACUCUCGAGUCCCACCUGCACCACGCCGGCGACGGGCCGACGCUGCUGGACUGGGAGCGCCGGUGGCGCAUCGCGCUCGGGGCGGCCAAGGGCUUGGCCUACCUGCACGAGGACUGUCAUCCUAAGAUCAUCCAUCGCGACAUCAAGGCGGCCAACAUCCUUCUAGAUGACAACUUUGAGCCCAAGGUUGCCGACUUUGGGCUGGCCAAGAUCCAGCACGGAGACGACAGCCAUGUUUCUACGCGGGUGAUGGGGACUUUCGGGUACAUGGCGCCGGAGUACACCAACACCGGGAAAAUAACCGACCGGUCCGACGUCUUCUCCUUCGGCGUCGUGCUUCUGGAGAUCAUCACCGGCAAGAGACCGGUCCUGUCCGACGAGGCCGACCAGGACGACGAGACUCUGGUCUCUUGGGCACGGCCUCUGCUGACAAAAGCUCUGGAUGGGGAGCUCUCCGUGGAGCUCAUCGACCCAAGGCUGGAGGCUAACUACGACGCCCACGAGAUGCAGCGGCUCAUGGCCUGCGCCGCCGCCGCCGUGCGCCACACGGCACGCUCCCGCCCACGAGUGAGCCAGAUCGUCCGGUACCUAGAGGGCGAGCUGCCGCUGGAGGAGCUCAACGGCGGCGUGGAGCCGGGGCAGAGCGAGGCGCACGACGCCACCACCACGGAGCAGCUGCGGCGGAUGAGGAGGAUGGCGUUCCUGCAGCAGGGCGCCGACAGCGGCAACACAGGCGCCACCGGCUUCGUCAGCGAGGCCACGAGCGAGUACGGACUGUGCGCCUCCAGCUCCAGCAGCGACGGCGACGCCGCGCAGAGCACGAGCCGCGCGCCCGGCUGGCAGCACCCCGGCGACAACAACGUGGGCAGGGCGGGGCGGCACUCCGGCGAGCUCGGAGCCAUGAGCCGGCGCACGCGCCCGGGCCGCGCCGGCCUGGAGUGA